AGUAGCAUCGCGCUAAAACGAUAUACUUACAUAUACAAAAAAUAUUUUGUAAUUAAUACUUUUUAAUCUUCAAAAUGAAGCCAUGCUAUCUUUCUUACAUAUUUGUCCUGGACAUCAAUCCGACUAACAAUCAUCAUGUUUUGCAAAGAGGGACAGGAUUAAGUAUACUUACCACCCAUUUUCGAAGAGCGUUCUGAAGGAAUUUCAUUAAAAUUUUAAUAUUAUCAAUGUUAUCGAACUUUGAUCGGUCAGUUUGCAUGGCAGCUAUGCCCUAUAGUGAUUCGAUCAGAACAAUUUCUUCAGAGAUGGUACCAUAGCCAUACUCAGCUGUCCGUGCCGAGGACGAGUGCAAAAUUUCAAAUCGACAUCUCAAAAACUUAG